UAAAGCUCUGUGGGGGGAGGACGAAUAAGUAGAAGCAAACACCUUCUAUGAUGACGGUAUCCCCUUAGCAAGCACCGGCUAACUCUGUGC
rnacentral:rRNA from 1 species